rnacentral:rRNA from 1 species
UGCGUAGGUGGCUGGGUAAGUCAGGUGUGAAAUCUCGGAGCUCAACUCCGAAACUGCACUUGAUACUGCCUGGCUCGAGUACUGGAGAGGAGAUUGGAAUUUACGGUGUAGCAGUGAAAUGCGUAGAUAUCGUAAGGAAGACCAGUGGCGAAGGCGAAUCUCUGGACAGUUACUGACACUGAGGCACGAAGGCCAGGGGAGCAAACG